UGGAGAGUUUGAUCCUGGCUCAGGACGAACGCUGGCGGCGUGCUUAACACAUGCAAGUCGAACGAUGAAGCCGCUUCGGUGGUGGAUUAGUGGCGAACGGGUGAGUAACACGUGGGCAAUCUGCCCUGCACUCUGGGACAAGCCCUGGAAACGGGGUCUAAUACCGGAUAUGACACGGGAUCGCAUGGUCUCCGUGUGGAAAGCUCCGGCGGUGCAGGAUGAGCCCGCGGCCUAUCAGCUUGUUGGUGGGGUGAUGGCCUACCAAGGCGACGACGGGUAGCCGGCCUGAGAGGGCGACCGGCCACACUGGGACUGAGACACGGCCCAGACUCCUACGGGAGGCAGCAGUGGGGAAUAUUGCACAAUGGGCGCAAGCCUGAUGCAGCGACGCCGCGUGAGGGAUGACGGCCUUCGGGUUGUAAACCUCUUUCAGCAGGGAAGAAGCGCGAGUGACGGUACCUGCAGAAGAAGCACCGGCUAACUACGUGCCAGCAGCCGCGGUA
rnacentral:rRNA from 2 species